UACAGAGGUCGCAAGCGUUGUUCGGAUUCAUUGGGCGUAAAGGGCGCGUAGGUGGCGCUGUAAGUCGGGUGUGAAAUUUCGGAGCUUAACUCCGAAACUGCAUUCGAUACUGCGGUGCUUGAGGACUGGAGAGGAGACUGGAAUUCAUGGUGUAGCAGUGAAAUGCGUAGAGAUCAUGAGGAAGACCAGUGGCGAAGGCGGGUCUCUGGACAGUUCCUGACACUGAGGCACGAAGGCCAGGGGAGCAAACGGG
rnacentral:rRNA from 1 species